AGGGGGAGGUAGAUAGGGGGAGUAGAGAUAGGGGGAGCUUGGAAGGAGUUUGUUGGUUCUUUUGUGGCUUUUCAUGACCAGACAUGUUAUUUGGAUCUUGUGCUUGUUGGUGUGUUGACAUGUCUACUCAUGUGUGUGGUUACCUUUAAGUUAAUGCAUUUGUGCUUGUUUACCUUCUCUAUCUUGUCAUGCAUUACUUAUUUGAGAUGUGCUUUAAAUUCAAAUUCUAUAUCUCUACUUGUUGUAUUGUCAUCUAUCACCAAAAAGGGGGAGAUUGAAGCACCUAGGCAUUAUCUAGGCCCUUUCGCACUUUUAUAAGGGUGUGUUUCAGUGAUAAAUAACAACCGUUUACUCGUGACUAACCCGUGUGUUUUGAAACGAAUCUAUAGUAGUUAACAUGUCAUAAGUUUAUUGGAAUAUGGCCCCUCAAUUUGAAUUGGAAAGUGGCA
rnacentral:lncRNA from 1 species